rnacentral:rRNA from 1 species
AAAGGCUCACCAAGGCGACGAUCAGUAGCUGGUCUGAGAGGAUGAUCAGCCACACUGCGACUGAGACACGGCCCAGACUCCUACGGGAGGCAGCAGUGGGGAAUUUUCCGCAAUGGGCGCAAGCCUGACGGAGCAAGACCGCGUGGCGGAGGAAGGCUCUUGGGUUGUAAACCCCUUUUCUCAAGGAAGAACACAAUGGCGGUACUUGAGGAAUAAGCCUCGGCUAACUCCGUGCCAGCAGCCGCGGUAAUACGGAGGAGGCAAGCGUUAUCCGGAAUGAUUGGGCGUAAAGCGUCCGUAGGUGGCUGUUCAAGUCUGCUGUCAAAGACAGUGGCUUAACUACUGAAAGGCAGUGGAAACUGAACAGCUAGAGUACGGUAGGGGCAGAGGGAAUUCCCGGUGUAGCGGUGAAAUGCGUAGAUAUCGGGAAGAACACCGGUGGCGAAAGCGCUCUGCUGGGCCGUAACUGACACUGAGGGACGAAAGCUAGGGGAGCGAAUGGGAUUAGAUACCCCAGUAGUCCUAGCCGUAAACGAUGGAAACUAGGUG